AGCAACAAAUGCCCUGCUUCCAGGAAAAGCCUCUAAGCAUCAGGUAACAUCAAAUCGUACCCCAAACCGACACAGGUGGUCAGGUAGAGAAUACCAAGGCGCUUGAGAGAACUCGGGUGAAGGAACUAGGCAAAAUGGUGCCGUAACUUCGGGAGAAGGCACGCUGACACGUAGGUGAAGUGAUUUACUCAUGGAGCUGAAGUCAGUCGAAGAUACCAGCUGGCUGCAACUGUUUAUUAAAAACACAGCACUGUGCAAACACGAAAGUGGACGUAUACGGUGUGACGCCUGCCCGGUGCCGGAAGGUUAAUUGAUGGGGUCAGCGCAAGCGAAGCUCCUGAUCGAAGCCCCGGUAAACGGCGGCCGUAACUAUAACGGUCCUAAGGUAGCGAAAUUCCUUGUCGGGUAAGUUCCGACCUGCACGAAUGGCGUAAUGAUGGCCAGGCUGUCUCCACCCGAGACUCAGUGAAAUUGAACUCGCUGUGAAGAUGCAGUGUACCCGCGGCAAGACGGAAAGACCCCGUGAACCUUUACUAUAGCUUGACACUGAACAUUGAGCCUUGAUGUGUAGGAUAGGUGGGAGGCUUUGAAGCGUGGACGCCAGUCUGCGUGGAGCCGACCUUGAAAUACCACCCUUUAAUGUUUGAUGUUCUAACGUGGACCCGUGAUCCGGGUUGCGGACAGUGUCUGGUGGGUAGUUUGACUGGGGCGGUCUCCUCCUAAAGAGUAACGGAGGAGCACGAAGGUUGGCUAAUCCUGGUCGGACAUCAGGAGGUUAGUGCAAUGGCAUAAGCCAGCUUGACUGCGAGCGUGACGGCGCGAGCAGGUGCGAAAGCAGGUCAUAGUGAUCCGGUGGUUCUGAAUGGAAGGGCCAUCGCUCAACGGAUAAAAGGUACUCCGGGGAUAACAGGCUGAUACCGCCCAAGAGUUCAUAUCGACGGCGGUGUUUGGCACCUCGAUGUCGGCUCAUCACAUCCUGGGGCUGAAGUAGGUCCCAAGGGUAUGGCUGUUCGCCAUUUAAAGUGGUACGCGAGCUGGGUUUAGAACGUCGUGAGACAGUUCGGUCCCUAUCUGCCGUGGGCGCUGGAGAACUGAGGGGGGCUGCUCCUAGUACGAGAGGACCGGAGUGGACGCAUCACUGGUGUUCGGGUUGUCAUGCCAAUGGCACUGCCCGGUAGCUAAAUGCGGAAGAGAUAAGUGCUGAAAGCAUCUAAGCACGAAACUUGCCCCGAGAUGAGUUCUCCCUGAGACUUUAGGUCUCCUGAAGGAACGUUGAAGACGACGACGUUGAUAGGCCGGGUGUGUAAGCGCAGCGAUGCGUUGAGCUAACCGGUACUAAUGAACCGUGAGGCUUAACCUUACAAC
rnacentral:rRNA from 2 species